AUUCCAGCUCCAAUAGCGUAUAUUAAAGUUGUUGCGGUUAAAAAGCUCGUAGUUGGAUUUCUGGUCUGAUGCCCUGGCCCGCGUCGAUUUCGAUGUGAGUGCCGGCUGUGCGUCUACCAUCCUUCUAGAAAACGUUCCUACCCUUCACUGGGCCGGGUUCGCGAUCUAGAUCUUUUACUUUGAAAAAAUUAGAGUGUUUAAAGCAGGCUUUUGCUAUGAAUACAUUAGCAUGGAAUAAUAAUCUAGGACUUUGGUCUUAUUUUGUUGGUCUCUAAGGCCGAGGUAAUGAUUAAUAGGGAUAGUUGGGGGCGUUUAUAUUCCGUUGUCAGAGGUGAAAUUCUUGGAUUUACGGAAGAUAAGCUACUGCGAAAGCAUUCGCCAAGGAUGUUUUCAUUA
rnacentral:rRNA from 1 species